rnacentral:rRNA from 1 species
UACGAAGGGGGCUAGCGUUGCUCGGAAUCACUGGGCGUAAAGGGCGCGUAGGCGGCGUUUUAAGUCGGGGGUGAAAGCCUGUGGCUCAACCACAGAAUGGCCUUCGAUACUGGGGCGCUUGAGUAUGGUAGAGGUUGGUGGAACUGCGAGUGUAGAGGUGAAAUUCGUAGAUAUUCGCAAGAACACCGGUGGCGAAGGCGGCAUUCUGGACCGAUAUUGACGCUGAGGAGCGAAAGCCAGGGGAGCAAACGGG